UACGUAGGGUGCAAGCGUUAAUCGGAAUUACUGGGCGUAAAGCGUGCGCAGGCGGUGAUGUAAGACAGAUGUGAAAUCCCCGGGCUCAACCUGGGAACUGCAUUUGUGACUGCAUCGCUGGAGUGCGGCAGAGGAGACUGGAAUUCCUGGUGUAGCAGUGAAAUGCGUAGAUAUCAGGAGGAACACCGAUGGCGAAGGCAGGUCUCUGGGCUGACACUGACGCUCAUGCACGAAAGCGUGGGGAGCAAACAGG
rnacentral:rRNA from 1 species